rnacentral:rRNA from 1 species
GACGAACGCUGGCGGCGUGCCUAAUACAUGCAAGUAGAACGCACAGUUUAUACCGUAGCUUGCUACACCAUAAACUGUGAGUUGCGAACGGGUGAGUAACGCGUAGGUAACCUGCCUGGUAGCGGGGGAUAACUAUUGGAAACGAUAGCUAAUACCGCAUAAUAUUAAUUAUUGCAUGAUAAUUGAUUGAAAGAUGCAAUUGCAUCACUACCAGAUGGACCUGCGUUGUAUUAGCUAGUAGGUGAGGUAACGGCUCACCUAGGCGACGAUACAUAGCCGACCUGAGAAGGUGAUCGGCCACACUGGGACUGAGACACGGCCCAGACUCCUACGGGGGGCAGCAGUAGGGAAUCUUCGGCAAUGGACGAAAGUCUGACCGGGCAACGCCGCGUGAGUGAAGAAGGUUUUCGGAUCGGAAAGCUCUGUUGUAAGAGAAGAACGGGUGUGAGAGUGGAAAGUUCACACUGUGACGGUAUCUUACCAGAAAGGGACGGCUAACUACGUG